UACGGGAGGCAGCAGUGGGGAAUAUUGCACAAUGGGGGGAACCCUGAUGCAGCAACGCCGCGUGGGUGAAGAAGUAUUUCGGUAUGUAAAGCCCUAUCAGCAGGGAAGAUAAUGACGGUACCUGACUAAGAAGCUCCGGCUAAAUACGUGCCAGCAGCCGCGGUAAU
rnacentral:rRNA from 1 species